rnacentral:rRNA from 1 species
GACGAACGCUGGCGGCGUGCUUAACACAUGCAAGUCGAACGGAAAGGCCCUGCUUUUGUGGGGUGCUCGAGUGGCGAACGGGUGAGUAACACGUGAGUAACCUGCCCUUGACUUUGGGAUAACUUCAGGAAACUGGGGCUAAUACCGGAUAGGAGCUCCUGCUGCAUGGUGGGGGUUGGAAAGUUUCGGCGGUUGGGGAUGGACUCGCGGCUUAUCAGCUUGUUGGUGGGGUAGUGGCAUACCAAGGCUUGGACGGGUAGCCGGCCUGAGAGGGUGACCGGCCACAUUGGGACUGAGAUACGGCCCAGACUCCUACGGGAGGCAGCAGUGGGGAAUAUUGCACAAUGGGCGGAAGCCUGAUGCAGCAACGCCGCGUGCGGGAUGACGGCCUUCGGGUUGUAAACCGCUUUCGCCUGUGACGAAGCGUGAGUGACGGUAAUGGGUAAAGAAGCACCGGCUAACUACGUG